CUUCAGAAGAAUUUUCUUCAAACUUAAUGAUACAUCCAAACUAUCAAAUUUCAUAUCAGAUGAUUGUGUUAUGACCUUGUAUACAAUACCCAAAAAUUUAUACACAUCCAAGCUAUAGAAAUUUUUUCGAACUUUAUGUCUCAUUGUAUACAAUCUCCAAAUCGAACUUUGUCACAUUGUAUACGAUUCCCAUUUUUUUUUUUUUGUUGAGAGGAAA
rnacentral:lncRNA from 1 species